UUGGAAGAAUGGGGCCAGCCUUAGUUGAUGCUGUUAGAGUUAGAUAAGAAGAGGGAUGUUAGUAUAUGUGGAGUGAAAGAAAGAUGAGAUCGUAUGUGAGAGUAUAGUUAAGAGAAGGGUUGAUGUAUUAACCUUUGGAGUUUUUUAUGGAAGAUAUGAUAAGAGUUUUGAUUAUGAAUAGAAUGAUUUUUAGAAAGAGUGAAUUAACUACAGAGGUUCCGUUGGAGUUUGGAGAGUUACUUGAUGAUUCGAUGUUGAUAUUAGAGGGAUGAUGAUGUUCUUGUUUGAGUUUGGAAAUGAAGAUGAUUAUGGUUUCGUGAUGACGAUGGAGAGUUGGAUUUUAAUCAACUAUGAGACCAAGUUUCAGAGACAAAUCAAGAUGUGCAUGUGACGAUGAAAGCUUCUAAGAAUUAGUUAUUUUAAUUAGUUAGCUUCCGCUAUGUUAUUUUGUGUUUGUAUUCUAUUUGUAAAUCAACUCAUUAUUGAAUAUGUAUCAUUUUAGAGAAAUUCUUGUCUAUAUAUUUCAGAGUGGGGAUAGUUUUCGGGUUAAGUUUUGUAGCAGAUUUCUUAAUUGAAUGUUUAAGUAAAUGAUUUAGAUUCUUAGUGCC